CACCCUGAUCCAGCCAUGCCGCGUGUGUGAAGAAGGCCCUCGGGUUGUAAAGCACUUUCAGCGAGGAAGAACGCCUAGUGGUUAAUACCCGUUAGGAAAGACAUCACUCGCAGAAGAAGCACCGGCUAACUCCGUGCCAGCAGCCGCGGUAAUACGGAGGGUGCAAGCGUUAAUCGGAAUUACUGGGCGUAAAGCGCGCGUAGGUGGCUUGAUAAGCCGGUUGUGAAAGCCCCGGGCUCAACCUGGGAACGGCAUCCGGAACUGUCAGGCUAGAGUGCAGGAGAGGAAGGUAGAAUUCCCGGUGUAGCGGUGAAAUGCGUAGAGAUCGGGAGGAAUACCAGUGGCGAAGGCGGCCUUCUGGACUGACACUGACACUGAGGUGCGAAAGCGUGGGUAGCAAACAGGAUUAGAUACCCUGGUAGUCCACGCCGUAAACGAUGUCGACCAGCCGUUGGGUGCCUAGAGCACUUUGUGGCGAAGUUAACGCGAUAAGUCGACCGCCUGGGGAGUACGGCCGCAAGGUUAAAACUCAAAUGAAUUGACGGGGGCCCGCACAAGCGGUGGAGCAUGUGGUUUAAUUCGAUGCAACGCGAAGAACCUUACCUACCCUUGACAUCUACAGAAGCCGGAAGAGAUUCUGGUGUGCCUUCGGGAACUGUAAGACAGGUGCUGCAUGGCUGUCGUCAGCUCGUGUUGUGAAAUGUUGGGUUAAGUCCCGUAACGAGCGCAACCCUUGUCCUUAUUUGCCAGCACGUAAUGGUGGGAACUCUAAGGAGACUGCCGGUGACAAACCGGAGGAAGGUGGGGACGACGUCAAGUCAUCAUGGCCCUUACGGGUAGGGCUACACACGUGCUACAAUGGCCGGUACAAAGGGCUGCGAGCUCGCGAGAGUCA
rnacentral:rRNA from 1 species